AUAUGGGGCCAUACCUACUUGUCAAUGUCCAAUCUCAUUAGACCUGGGAAGUGAUGCAAGCUUGGGCCUGGUUAGUACUUGGAUGAGAGACCAUGCGGGGCAGCAGUGAUUCUAGUG
rnacentral:rRNA from 1 species